GGGAAGAGCGAGGAAGAAGGGAGUCGGCGGCGUAACAAGGUACCUGCGGUUGGUGGGAUCGUUGUGGCAGCGGCUAGAUCGGGCAGGUGUGGCCAGCCGGUUCGCUGCGGCGGGGGUAGGGGAAGUAGUUCGUGCGGCGGAGGGGGCGUGGGGGCUCCGGGGCUGGGUACGGCGGCGAGGGCGUGGGAGUUGGGUACGGCGAUCGGUAAGGGGUAGCCACUGUCGGGUAUGGGUGCGCGGGAGACUGCGUGCGGCGGUGGGUCAGGGGUAGCCACUCCUGGAUGUGGGCGCGGAGGUUACAGGGUGCGGCGGUAGGUCAGGGGUAGCCGCUACUGGACGUGGUCGUUGGGUGUAGCGGCGGGCAGGGGUAGCUAGGUGCAGCGUUGGCGUGGGGGUGGGUCUUGUAGGCGGGGUAAGGAGCUCGUGCUGCGGCGGAGCAUGGGGAGUGGUGGGUGCGGCGGCAGGGUUAGGGGGUGGUGCUGUGGAGGGGUAGGGGAAGCGGUAAUGGCGGAGACGAAGCGCAACGUGCCGUCGAGCCGGAGAACGAAGCUUCCUCCUCCAGGUUCACUUUACCCAAAUUCUAAGGUGUAGACAACAAACCUCCUCGAAAACUAGUGGUACGCGAACGGAAAGUUACAACUUAUAUUCGAUUAGCGAGAACUUAGAGAACACUACAUACCACACUUCUACGAUAACUACCAGUGAUUUUCGAGUGUCGACUUCUUAACUAUACUACAACGUUUGCUAAAGAAAAUCAUCUGUCCACUACAUAGUUUAUCUGGUUAUGAUCUUUUAGCUCGUCUCUAGUGUGUUGUUUUCUUCGUUCACGACCAGGUUGUCCUCUUAGUUGAUCUUUUGUAGUUUUGUGUUGACAACGGGUUUUCUGAGACGUUUACCUCCAACAAGCAUUUCAAGACUUCUUCGUUGGUAGUGUCGGUCACCGUUAGCAGUGUACAUCUUCCAGUGGCCAUAUUAUGAAAACGUAGGUGUUCAAAAUUCUCCCACAAAACACUCGAUUUUCCUAGAAGACAACAUGAGGGAGACAGAGUUUUAUUUACAGAGUUGGUAUCAUGUUGAAACAUGAUUGAGAUCAUGUUUCAACUCCGUGAAUGAGACCCUAUCUCCCUCAUAUACAAAGAUUGAUUUUGGUCCGGAAUAUAAAACGAGAAAAAAGAUACUACAUUAUAACCUGAAUAGUCUUGGAUGUUUACAUACAUACACGUACAUCUGUACUACCUAGAAACACAAAGACCGAUAGUACAUUAUGACCUGAACAUUGGGAUACUUACUACCUGACGGGUCUAUAUAUGUACCUAUGUGUAAU
rnacentral:rRNA from 1 species